rnacentral:rRNA from 1 species
AUACGGAGGGUGCAAGCGUUACUCGGAAUCACUGGGCGUAAAGCGCGCGCAGGCGGCUUGAUAAGUUGGAUGUGAAAGCCUACGGCUCAACCGUAGAACUGCAUCCAAAACUGUCAGGCUAGAGUGUGGGAGAGGAAGAUGGAAUUAGUUGUGUAGGGGUAAAAUCCGUAGAGAUAACUAGGAAUACCAAAAGCGAAGGCAAUCUUCUGGAACACUACUGACGCUGAGGCGCGAAGGCGUGGGGAGCAAACCGGAUUAGAAACCCUAGUAGUCC